rnacentral:rRNA from 1 species
GAUGAACGCUAGCGGAAGGCAUAAUACAUGCAAGUCGAACGGAUGUAGCAAUACAUUAGUGGCGCACGGGUGCGUAACGCGUAUGCAACCUACCUUCAUCAGGGGGAUAACUACCCGAAAGGGUGGCUAACACCGCAUAAUACUAUUGAGUGGCAUCACUUGAUAUUUAAAUCUGAGGAGGAUGAAGAUGGGCAUGCGUCUGAUUAGCUAGUUGGUGUGGUAACGGCGCACCAAGGCGACGAUCAGUAGGGGAACGGAGAGGUUGGUCCCCCACAGUGGCACUGGGAUACGGGCCAGACUCCUACGGGAGGCAGCAGUAGGGAAUAUUGGUCAAUGGUGGGAACACUGAACCAGCCAUUCCGCGUGCAGGAAGAAGGGUCUCUGACUUGUAAACUGCUUUAGCAAGGGAAGAAAAAGCUCAUGCGUGAGAAAUUGACGGUACCUUGAGAAUAAGCACCGGCUAACUACGUGCCAGCCGCCGCCGUAAAAC